GCUAUUGCUUGGAAAAAUCACACACACAUCGUCACGUCUACUGGGUGCCUUCGAAUUUACUCAAAGGUUAGUAUAUGGGAUGUGUGGACGUCAAAC
rnacentral:sRNA from 1 species